rnacentral:lncRNA from 1 species
GAGAGUGCUAGUGUGGUGUCACAUGGUGCAACAUGGCUCAGUGUUGUGUGAAACUAAGAGUCCCUGGUUUCUAGUACGGUGCCUGACAGAUAGAUGACUUUCUUUAUAUGUUGCUGAAGAAAGGCAGAGAGGAAGAAAGGAAGAGAGGAUAAAGGGAGGAAUAAACUUGAUAUAAGCAUCUUUGCAUAAUUAACAACUGGGUCAAAUUUUCUUCAUUUCAUUGAGAUUCUUGAUACAAGCCUCUGCUGAU